rnacentral:lncRNA from 1 species
UAUUUGAAGAGAGGCAACGGAAUACAAUAGUAUGCCUUAUUACAAUCUGAGGAUAGGUCCGGUAGAAUCAACAAGAAUUCUCCAUGUUGAUGUCUAGAUGAAGACAUUUCACUAGAGCAGUGGUUUCCAACCUUUGGGCCUCCAGGUGUUUUGGACUUCAGCUCCCAUAGUUCCUAACAGCUGGCAAGCUGGCUGGGAUUUCUGUGAGUUGAAGUCCAAAACACCUGGAGACCCUGUCAGGGAUUCCUCUUCUUCAGAAGAGGAAGGGGAGCAGGAAAGUGUUCAUGAGUCUGGGGAUGAGUUGAAGUCUGAGGAGGAGAAUUUGCUAGUACCAUCAUUCCUGGAGAGGCGAAAGGAAACAGAGCAGAGAUGUUGCAGACAGCCAAUUCUCUCACACCAGAAGUGACUUGCAAUUUCUCAAGUCACUCCUGAAACACACACACACACACACACACACACACACACACACACACACACACACAAAUCUGGUGCAAAAUGGGACAAGUUACAUAUUUCAUCUAUUUUCAAGGGUAUGGCUCCAUUUGCUGACCUGUAUAUGUUUUGAAAGAGCAUGUAGGCUUCGGUCUUAGCAGAAUAUCCUUAAAAUAGCACAGGCUCUUUUAUACAUUAGGGGAAGCAAUCAGCCUAGCAGAGAUGCUCCUCUGUCUGCACCCUCACUCACCCCAGUUGUGUGUGCAAAGAAACACAUCUUCUGUUCAGCAGAGGUAUGUUAAUACUGAUACGAUACUGAUAUAUGUGAGUAUCCACACACAGGAAACUUCUUUUAAAACAAUUUAAAUUCAACCCAGUAAAGAACUACUUCCUGGUGGGAGUGCUCACCUCCCAUCAGCCAGUCCAAUUAAAAACUCUACUUGCAAGAUACUUCACUUCGGCAGAAAAAAAUGAAAUGCAAAGAUACAUCUCCCUUCAACUGUGGUGCCCAGAAUUGGACACAGUGUGAUUCCAGGUGUGGCCUGACCAAGGCAGAAUAGAGGGGGAGCAUGACUUCCCUGGAUCUAGAUGCUAUUCCCCUAUUGAUGCAGGCCAGAAUCCCAUUGGCUUUUUUAGCAG